rnacentral:rRNA from 1 species
GAUGAACGCUGGCGGCGUGCCUAAUACAUGCAAGUCGAGCGAACGGACGAGAAGCUUGCUUCUCUGAUGUUAGCGGCGGACGGGUGAGUAACACGUGGAUAACCUACCUAUAAGACUGGGAUAACUUCGGGAAACCGGAGCUAAUACCGGAUAAUAUUUUGAACCGCAUGGUUCAAAAGUGAAAGACGGUCUUGCUGUCACUUAUAGAUGGAUCCGCGCUGCAUUAGCUAGUUGGUAAGGUAACGGCUUACCAAGGCAACGAUGCCGAGCCGACCUGAGAGGGGGGUGGGCCACACGGAAACGGAGACGCGGCACAGACUACACCGAGAGGCAGCGGUGGGGAAUCUUACGCGAGGGGAGAAAGGCUGAAGGAGGAACGCCGCGUGAGUGAGGAAGGUCUUCGGAUGGUAAAGCUCUGUUAUAAGAAAAGAAAAUAUGUGUAAGUAACUGUGCAAAUCUUGACGGUACAUAAUCAGAAAGCCACGGCGGAUUACG